UGGUAAAAGCUUAGUAGUUCUUAGUUGUACUAUCAAUAUACAGCGAUGCCCCGACAGGACGUCGGGGCAAGUAAUGAGCGACACGACGUCGUAUUCAUUACGGUCACGUCUGUUUUUAAUACCUAAACAGCACAUCUUAGAACUACUUAGC
rnacentral:ncRNA from 1 species